CAGGCUAAAGUUUUAAAGUGUAUGCUAUGCCUUGUUCCCUAUCUCGGCAUAUUAUGUAUAUAUGUACUAUGAUGUGGUUCAUGUGUUAUUUGAAAUAGUUUGACUUGACAUUAUUUUGUCCCCUAUCAUUGAGUUAUAUGCUAGAGUUCACUCCACUAACCGUCUCUGGAUGUUGUAUCUCCACGCAAUGCAGACACUAGAGAUACUUCUA
rnacentral:lncRNA from 1 species